UAGCGCUUUCGCGUCACUACUUUCACCUCUUCCUUUUAUCGGCGGAUUCCAGAAAGGGCUCGCUUGACCGACUACAGAUGGAUGCUCAGACUGGAUCUCUCACCAUCAGAAACCUCACCAUCAACGACACUGGACUUUAUCAGCUUCAAAUCAUCCGUGAACAGGUGUCCCAGCUUCAGUGCCUACUCCU